rnacentral:rRNA from 1 species
GACGAACGCUGGCGGCGUGCUUAACACAUGCAAGUCGAACGGAAAGGCCCUGCUUUUGUGGGGUGCUCGAGUGGCGAACGGGUGAGUAACACGUGAGUAACCUGCCCUUGACUUUGGGAUAACUUCAGGAAACUGGGGCUAAUACCGGAUAGGAGCUCCUGCUGCAUGGUGGGGGUUGGAAAGUUUCGGCGGUUGGGGAUGGACUCGCGGCUUAUCAGCUUGUUGGUGGGGUAGUGGCUUACCAAGGGUUUGACGGGUAGCCGGCCUGAGAGGGUGACCGGCCACAUUGGGACUGAGAUACGGCCCAGACUCCUACGGGAGGCAGCAGUGGGGAAUAUUGCACAAUGGGCGGAAGCCUGAUGCAGCAACGCCGCGUGCGGGAUGACGGCCUUCGGGUUGUAAACCGCUUUCGCCUGUGACGAAGCGUGAGUGACAGUAAUGGGUAAAGAAGCACCGGCUAACUACGUG